GUAAUCUGCCAGGUGGUCAAAUUCGGUUCCAGCCAUGAGAAAGUAGAACCAAAUGCUGGGGAAAUGGAGAGGAAGGCAGGAGCCCAGAAGACUCUCCGGAUGGGCACUUCUGGAUUUACCUGUCUACCCUCCCUCCCCUGCGAAGCUCUGGAACUUCCUUCGCUGUCAGUCAUCUACCAAUUUAGUGAAAUUAUUUAGUAACUUUUGGUGGGCGGGAUUCAGUGAAAGUGUAAUGAGAGCCCCCCAGUACCUAGUUCUAGGUCCUUCUAGUUCUACGUGGGACACCACCUCAGCAUGGCUUGAUGAGCGGUGCUAGGUCCACACCCAGGAUCCAAAUGGGUGAAACCCUGGGCCACCAAAGUGGAGUGCACGAACUUAACCACUCGGCUGCAGGGCUGUCCCCCGAGCUUUACAUUUUUAAAAGGGUUCAAAAUAAAAGGAAGGAGAUGUGACAACAAUUAUGUGUCCUAAAAAGCCUAACAUAUGAGUAUCUAGUCCACAAAGAAGGAUUUGCCAGCCCCCGUGAGACCAGACGUGCAGGAAUCACAAUGACAGAGUGGCUGACCUCACUGAAGUCUUAGAGGGACUUAGUUGGACGUUGAACCAGAGAGAACAGUGUUUGGACCUUUCUGCCACAGGGUAAGGAAGUCAAGCUUCAUCUAAGAUUAACCCACAGAAAGGCAUGUCAGGAUUUCGACCAUAACAACUACCACAUACUGAUUGUGUGCUGUGUGCCAGACCCUGCACCAGGCAUUUGCUAUGCACUAUCCAGUUUAAUUGCUACCACUACCCUCCUGGCUCUACGACUUAUUAGCUGUGUGGCCUUGGGCAGGUUUCUUAACCUCUCUGUACAUCAUUUUCUUCCUAUUUAAUGGAAUUAUUAUGAGACAAUAAUGUGGAAUUGUUAAGAGAAUUAAAUCAAUAAACUCAUGGAAAGCAC
rnacentral:lncRNA from 1 species